rnacentral:miRNA from 1 species
CAGUAACAGCUAUCAGCCAAUCAGCAGCAGACCCUCCCUCCCAGACCCUUCCACCUCCUGGACAGCAUCCAUUUUGAAGCUGCAUUCUUAGUGAGUUGUCCAGGAGGUGGGAGGGUCUGGGAGGGAGGGUCUGCUGCUGAUUGGCUGGAAUGUGUCUG